GACUACAGGGGUAUCUAAUCCUGUUUGCUCCCCACGCUUUCGUGCAUGAGCGUCAGUGCAGGCCCAGGGGAUUGCCUUCGCCAUCGGUGUUCCUCCGCAUAUCUACGCAUUUCACUGCUACACGCGGAAUUCCAUCCCCCUCUGCCGCACUCCAGCGAUGCAGUCACAAAGGCAGUUCCCAGGUUGAGCCCGGGGAUUUCACCUCUGUCUUACAUCACCGCCUGCGCACGCUUUACGCCCAGUAAUUCCGAUUAACGCUUGCACCCUACGUAUUACCGCGGCUGCUGGCACGUAGUUAGCCGGUGCUUAUUCUUACGGUACCGUCAUGGACCCCAGGUAUUAACCAGAGUCUUUUCGUUCCGUACAAAAGCAGUUUACAACCCGAAGGCCUUCAUCCUGCACGCGGCAUGGCUGGAUCAGGGUUGCCCCCAUUGUCCAAAAUUCCCCACUGCAGCCUCCCGUAGG
rnacentral:rRNA from 1 species